rnacentral:lncRNA from 1 species
GGGAUGUGCAUUCUUGCUCAUGUCCGGGGUUUCUGAUUGGGAUCCUGGAAUGACCUCUGACUCACCUGAAUCAGAUGAGCCGCACUUUCUGGGCUGCCAUAUCGAAGAUCAUGUCCAUUGAUGGCUAACACGCGGUCGUUCUCCUCAAGCUGACCAUGUCGAUCUGCCACACCGCCAUCCAGCACAUUGAAGAUGAAAACCCCAGGCUCAUCCACCUUGCGCACCAGUUUUAUUCCAAGCUGCUCCUCGGGGCUACUUUUGUUGAGAAUCACAUGAAAGCUGUCAUCUCGAGGUCUGUAGGCAUCCGGGGCCUGUCCAUUGUUCCUGCUGCGGAACUUCUGUUCACGCAUCACAGUCAGCCACAGCACCUGGCAGGGCUGCCGCAGGAGACGCACAGCGUAGUUGUGAGGGACAUUGCUGAUGUCCAUCCCGUUGACCUGGGGGCAGGUGGAACAAUCGUGCGGUCAGCUCCACCUGCCACAACCCUUCCUGAAAGAUCCAGGCCCACAGAAAAGCCAGGAUCCUGUCUUUAAAGACUGCUCUGCUCUCCCGCCUCAUCCUGUGUCCAAUAACCGCACCUUCCAACAGCGUUUCUAACCCUGUUCUCUCCAAGCGUGGCCUGCAGCACCUCUCCAGGCCUCUCUUCCUAGUGUGUCUGAGGAAAUCCAAUCUCUCCCACUCCAGCCUGCCUACUCAUUGAACAUGGCUGCUAUCUCUGUCUUCUGGAAACAUGGCUCCAAUCCUGCAACAACUCUACACAAGAGCUCCCAGUGAAAGCUUUCACUAGACCUUGAUGGCACUAUGGUCAUUAUCUCGUCAAAACUGUGGUGGAUUUGAAGAGCUAGUGAUGAAGAAUGGAGGUUUCCUGUCCUAGAAAUAACCAAAGGCCCAGGCUUGGAGGUGGCAGAAAAAGUGGCACUUAAGUUACUAGCCCAGUAUUUGGAAUUUGUCAAAGCUAUAUUCCUCAGAAUUUACUUCAAGAGCUCCUUUGUAUCAGCAGAGAAUGAAGAACGGAGAAGAGGAGGAGGAGGUUGAAAGAAACUUAAGAGAUGUGGCAACUAAUUGCAACGUGUAGAUUGUAUUUAGCUCAUGAUUCACACACACUAGAUACUUGUUAUUAAAGAAUUAUGGUUGUUUUCG